AUGGCGUCCUUGGUGGUUGUCGAUGCGUCCGGCCCGGCGCCAGUGGUUGAGAGGGCGGACAUGACGCGUCCGCCGCCGUGCCCAGUGCACAAUGGAUACAAGUGCUACCCGGUGCCAUGUCCCGGUGGCGAGCUCUUCUUGGUGCGCUGCUGCCUCUAUGGGUGCCCGGUGGAGGUGGUGGAUGUGAAGGUUUUCCGAUGGAACGAUGAGGGCAAUGCAUGGGAAACGGUGGACACCAUCGGCGAUAGAACUUUUUUUGUAGGCAACUUUAUUUUUGCGGUCCAGUCAGCGGCUGAAGCAGGAACUCAGCCCAACUGUAUCCAUGUGCUACGCGAGGUUUGUGGUGGAUUUGGUAUCUACACCGUGUCUCUGGAUGAUAUGACCAUUCGGCUCAGCAUAGUCGAGGGAUCUGACGAUGAUGGUCAGGAAGUUUUCUGGGCUCUUUCUACUAGCUUCGGUCUGGAAGCAGCACGAAUCAUCGACACUUCUGAUGAUGUCUCCAAUGAAGUGAUGCAAACAAGAAUUGAACAUUGUUGUGGAGAGCAAGAAAAAGAGGACACGGGGAUGAGCGCUGCGGCCUCUCGAGAGGAGAGGCAGUGGCGUGAUCUCCAUACCGACUUAUUGCAGUUACUAGUACCCAAGAUUUCAUUCAUCGAUUUCCUACACCUGAAAGUUGUCUGCAAGCAGUGGAACUUCAUUAAGAGCCCGAUCCAGAAUGCAAAAGUGUCACCAUUGCUCAUGACAACUCAGCCAGCAGGAAGGACCAAGGAGGAUCUUGUCGAGAUCUUCGAUCCAGUGAGCGAGAAGAAGUAUAGUAUCAGGUUAAAUAUCCCUACUUCAGGUCUCCAAUUUCAAGGAUCGCAGUUACUGCAUUUCACAAAGAACGGUUGGGUCAUCGUAUCGAGAGGCGGCGACCACAUGAUCUUCCUAGUGAAUCUGUUCAAGAACUACCCUAAUGGUGGCCAUGUGAUCGCUCUUCCACCUUUGGAUAUCCUUGGUCUCAGAGGAUUGUCAUUUUCUUCGGUGUCGGGUUCUCCGGACUUCAUGGUCCUUGCCGCAGGAUCUACCCCAAACGGCGAAGUUGUCAUGAUAAAGACAUGGCGAAUGGGAGAUGAAGAUUGGAAGGAUGAAUCCGCAGGCCACGACAACGUGACCUUCUUCAUGGCAUCUCACAGUCCCGUCUUCCUGGAUGGACUCUUCUAUUUUCUGGACAUCAAUGGCAGGCUUGGGGUGGUGGACCCGAACGAGGACGAAAUGGAAUGGAACAUCCUCGAAAAGCCGAAUCAACCGAUACGCGGAAGCGUUGAGGUGCAUUCUAGGGAAUAUUAUUAUAACUAUCUGGUGGAGUGGAAGGGGGAGUUGAUCGCCAUUAUCAGAGAGAACGGCGAUGAUGGGUCUGUCAGAACGUUCAAGCUCGAUCGGUCUCGGAUGGUUUGGUCCGAGUUGGAAGGCUUGGAGGACGCGGCCGUGUUUUGGGAUAGGAGCAAUGCUCUGAUUGUUGUGCCACCUACAGGAGAAGAUUCAUGUAACAAGAUGUUCCUCCCGAACUAUAGUGAGAUCAACAGUGGUGGCAGGACGCAGGCGUUCUACUCAUUCCAGGAGCAAUGCUACCGCCCUUCCUUCUAUGCCAAGGAGCCCAUGAACGCAAUAUGGUUCCAGCCAGACUUGGACCUAUACUUACAGUGA
rnacentral:rRNA from 1 species